rnacentral:tRNA from 1 species
CGCGGUGUAGCUCAACGGCCAGAGCACUCGAUUGAUAAUCGAGCGAUGUCGGUUCAAUUCCUUCCACCGCGACCA